GUAUUUAGGGUGUUAAGCAUAGUAGGGUUUCAUUUUACAGGUAUGAUGUGUCAUUAAAUAUG
rnacentral:tRNA from 1 species